GAUGGACGCUGGCGGCGUGCCUAAUACAUGCAAGUCGAGCGAACGGACGAGAAUCUUGCUUUUCUGAUGUUAGCGGCGGACGGGUGAGUAAUACGUGGAUAACCGACCUAUAAGACUGGGAUAACUUCGGGAAACCGGAGCUCAUACCGGAUAAUAUUUUGAACCGCAUGGUUCAAAAGUGAAAGACGGACUUGCUGUCACUUAUAGAUGGAUCCGCGCUGCAUUAGCUAGUUGGUAAGGUAACGGCUUACCAAGGCAACGAUGCAUAGCCGACCUGAGAGGGUGAUCGGCCACACUGGAACUGAGACACGGUCCAGACUCCUACGGGAGGCAGCAGUAGGGAAUCUUCCGCAAUGGGCGAAAGCCUGACGGAGCAACGCCGCGUGAGUGAUGAAGGUCUUCGGAUCGUAAAACUCUGUUAGUAGGGAAGAACAGAUGUGUAAGUAACUGUGCACAUCUUGACGGUACCUAAUCAGAAAGCCACGGCUAACUACGUG
rnacentral:rRNA from 1 species